rnacentral:SRP_RNA from 1 species
CCUAGUAACAGUAGUCCCUGAUGCUGGGGAGGUGAGGAUGGUGGGAUUGCUUGAGUUCAAAAAUCCUGAGUUAUAAGGCUAAAGCCAGUUUAGCGUGUCUUCAUUAAGUCUGGCACCAAUAUGGUGAACCCUUAGGAGUGGGGGCUACCAGGUUGCUUGAGGAGGGAUGAACUGGUCCAGGUUGGAAAUAGAGCAGGUCAAAGUUUCUAUUCCAAACAGCAAUGGAGUCAGCUCAUGAGUAGCCCUUGUCCUUCCACUCUGGGUGAGAUAGGAAGAUAAAACUUCA